CACCUGCCCUAGGGGUGGGUGGGGAGGCUGUCUUUUUUAUACAAUCACCUGUGAUCAACAAAGAAUAACCAGACCCUAAAAAGAAGUAAGCCAUUAAAGAGAUUAUCACCAGUCUUUACUCAAACCAAGACAUCCUAAGAAUGGAUAAGGCUCCCUGGUCAGUUCUAAAGAAAAGACUUGUCAAUGGAGGCCCACGCUGGCAACCCUGUCCGGACCCCUCUCAUUCCUGAGAGCUUUUUCUGUAUCCUUGCUUAACCACUUUACUCAGUCUCCUUUGUCUGCGACAUUCAUUCUUUGACUCAAUGAGACAAGAACCUCACUCUCCCACCUCACUUAAAGGCCGAAACCCCGGACUACUCCCACCGAAGGACCUCUGGACCAGCCUGUGGAUAGAUUCUAACCGCUGCACAGCCUGCCGACCCAUUUCAGCAGGAAGCCGCCAGAGUGAUCAUCUCCCAUUCCCUGACAGCAAUUAGGUGUCCCCUUUAAGAUGGCCAAUACGAUAAAGCAGACUGAAGUAGUGGAGAGAGCAGCAGAGAAUUAGAUGAAUUAGAUCUGAAGCCUGCUUUUGGAACUGACACCACACAG